rnacentral:rRNA from 1 species
UCCGUAGGUGAACCUGCGGAAGGAUCAUUAGUGAAUUUGUUGGAUUCUAAAUCCACACUCUCUCACUUUCUAACCCUGUGAACUUAUUAUAAAUGGUAUUUGGAAUGUUAACGCGUUUCAUUUACUGUUUUCAUAUUAUAAACUUAGUAAAGUUGAAGAAUGUCUUUUUUAUAACAAAUAAAAACUUUCAACAACGGAUCUCUUGGCUCUCGCAUCGAUGAAGAACGCAGCGAAUUGCGAUAAGUAAUGUGAAUUGCAGAAUUCAGUGAACCAUCGAAUCUUUGAACGCACCUUGCACUCUUUGGUAUUCCGAAGAGUAUGCCUGUUUGAGUGUUAUGAAAUCUCUCAACCUAUCAUUUUUCAUUAGAACUUUGAUUAGGAUUGGAUUCUGAGCGUUGCUGACUAGUUUACUAGUGAAGCUCGUUUGAAAUAGAAUAGCAAAUGUCUAAUCUUUAAUCGGUUUGACUUGGCGUAAUAAGUAACAUUUCGCUAAGGAUUAUCCUUUGGAUAACCGAAUUUUGUAUUUAUGACUUGCUUCUAAAAUUCAUAAUUUUCUAAUUUGACCUCAAAUCAGGUAGGACUACCCGCUGAACUUAAGCAUAUCAAUAAGCGGAGGA